rnacentral:rRNA from 1 species
AUUGAACGCUGGCGGCAGGCCUAACACAUGCAAGUCGAGCGAGCGGCGGACGGGUGAGUAAUGUAUGGGGACUGCCCGAUAGAGGGGGAUAACUACUGGAAACGGUGGCUAAUACCGCAUACUAUCGGAUAACCCAUGUGGGUUUAGCUAGUAGGUGGGGUAAAGGCUCACCUGGGCGACGCUCCCUAGCCGGUCUGAGAGGAUGAUCAGCCACCAUGGGACUGAGACACGGCCCGGACUCCUACGGAGGCAGCAGUGGGGAACUUUGCACAAGGGGCGAAAGCCUGAUGCAGCCAUGCCGCGUGUAUGAAGAAGGCCUUAGGGUUGUAAAGUACUUUCAGCAGGGAGGCGUUACCCGCAGAAGAAGCACCGGCUAACUCCGUGCCAGCAGCCGCGGUAAUAC